UCUCCGUUGGUGAACCAGCGGAGGGAUCAUUACCGAGUGCAAACUCAUAACCCUUUGUGAACCUAUAUCUGUUGCUUCGGCGGCUCGCUCUCGGGCGGGCCCGCCGGUAAUAUCAGUAUCUCUGUUUGAACCCGACGAUACUUCUGAGUGUUCUUAGCGAACAGUUAAAACUUUUAACAACGGAUCUCUUGGCUCUG
rnacentral:misc_RNA from 1 species